AUUGAACGCUGGCGGCAGGCCUAACACAUGCAAGUCGAACGAGUGGCGGACGGGUGAGUAAUGUCUGGGAAACUGCCUGAUGGUGGGGGAUAACUACUGGAACCGGUAGCUAAUACCGCAUACCAUCAGAUGUGCCCAGGUGGGAUUAGCUAGUUGGUGGGGUAACGGGUCACCAAGGCGACGAUCCCUAGCUGGUCUGCUGGGAUGACCAGCGAAACGGGACCUGAGACACGGUCCAGACUCCUACGGGAGGCAGCAGUGGGGAAUAUUGCACAAUGUGCGCAAGCCUGAUGCAGCCAUGCCGCGUGUGUGACGAAGGCCUUCGGGUUGUAAAGUACGUUCAGCGGGGAGGCGUUACCCGCAGAAGAAGCACCGGCUAACUCCGUGCCAGCAGCCGCGGUAAUAC
rnacentral:rRNA from 1 species